GAGACUGCACGCGAAGAGGGAGGUCUCCAUUUCCCUCCCUCCCUGCUGUGGGCACCGCAUGUGGGGAUGUGAUGCCUGGAUCUGUGGCAGACAUCUUGUAGCGAUGAGGCAACAGGCCUGGCAGAGCAAACCAACACUUUUCUUGAACAGUCAGCUCUGGCGAGACAGAGCUGCUGCCUGCAUGGCGCCAAGCACUCGAGGACCCAGCACUGCGCCAGGCAAGUGGCAGGAAUGUGGCAACUGUCUGAGGCAGCGGUCCAAUAGAACUUCUCGCAGUGAUGGACAUGUUGUGAGCUGCACUGCCCGAUACAGUACCCCCCGGCCCCAUGAGGCUACUGAACGUUUGAGAUGUGGCUAGUCUGGAUUUUUAAUUUUAUUUACUUUUAAUUGAUUUAAACUUAAAUAGCCAUUUGUGCCUAAUGGCUGCCAUUAGUGUAGUAGAGAAUCACGCCCAUCUCUGUAGCUUCUGAAGCCUUUUCUGCUCCUGUUUUCAGAGCCUGUUGGGCUGGUGAGGUGAUGAAUGAAACUGCUUCCAGACACCCUGGGGCUCUUCUUUUUCCCCAUCUCCCUUGCCUGGUAUUGUUUGAGCAGAAGGAGACCUCCAGCCUUUCUGAGUUCUGAGAAGCUGGCAUUCCACACAGCGCACCCAGCAGGCCCAAGCCCUCUCUACACAGCUAGGAUCACCUGUCAGGCAAGUGACACUUUGCCCUGAGCAGCUACAGUUUGUAGAAAACAAUCUGUUGGCUCUGUAACUGGCUUAGGACAUUUACUACUAUUUCAGCCCAGAAGUUCCCAGAAUAUGGGCUUUGGGGAUGAGGUGGAUUAAAAGAGGCUUCAAGUUCUUUGGGACUCCCCCGAUAGAGUAGGAAUUUAUUUUCCUUUUCCUUGAAUCUGGGCUGGUCCUCCUGACUCUCUUGGGGAUGUGUUGUUCUGAGACUCCUGAGGCUAGGUCAUAAGCAGCUUCUGGGGACGCUGUUUCUGGAAGCCUGAGUUGCCAUUAAGAAAUCCAAAACCCUGAAGCUACCAAGCUGGGGAUGGCAUGUGUGGGCACUGCGAUUGCCAGCCCCAGCUGAGCCUGGCUUCCAGCCAUCCCCACAGCAGCACCACCAAGGACCACCUGCGUGGACUAGUGUUCCUGAGGGUGGGAGGAGGAGAGGAUCAAGCUGUGUCCUGCAGAGGUGGGGUAGUCCCAGCACCAAGUGUCCCUCCAGACCCCCAGGAGAACCACAGUUCACAAACCACACACACCACUUUGCAGUUUAAAAGAGCAGCUCCUGGGUCAGGUUCUUAGAACUCAAAGCACGACUGGGGCAUGGAGGGGGACAGGUGAGUCCACCAUCCAUUCAUGACACCUGACUCCAUGAGCCAGACAGGCCAAAUGGAAACCCACCUGCCUGUGUCCAGGGGUGCCACCCCAUGGAGGGCCAUGGGGCUCCAUCCAAGGGAAUAAGCAUGUAGUCCUUGGUCCAGUUUACCCUGCAGAGAGACUGCACAGAUGGAUGCUCAGGCAGUUACUCCCUGGAGACAACCAGACGUUCAUCAGCAAGGCCGGUGAAGCAAAGGUGGACAGCCCUUGGCGGGACACCAGACUGCUGUCAAAAGGAGGAAGUACAUUUGUUUGCUCCAAUUUGAGCCCCAAGAUAUGCACUGAUCAGAGCUCCAAGAUACACGUUUAAACAGACCAACCCAAGCAAGGUAGAGCACAGCAUGUACAAUGUGCUCUCUGUGGUAUCAUGACGAGAGGAGGGAAUGGAGUUGGUACGUGAAUAUGGUUUGUGUGAGCAUGAAGAGCUCUGGAAGGACGCGCUGAUGCUAAUAAAUUUGGUUUCUUGUGUGUGUUGGGGAAGGAUGGGGCUGAGGGAUGGGGAGAGGCGAGGAUUUUAAAUGUAAGCCUUUAUAACGAGCAGCUUUUGAACUUUGUGUUUUACCUAUUAAAAGUGGAUACAAAAUUUCAAAUAAAAACAAAGCCUCUCUACCUUGAAGCUUCUUUCCUCUCUGAGGUUCCUGGUGCUGCGCACUUUUUGCCGUGACUUCUAUAGAUGGUAGGGCCAGUCUGAGAAAUGAUAGGCCAAUACUCUGUGUCCUGUGGCCACUGUGGAUGGUCCUGGGUUCUACACCUGCAGCUUCAUUCGAUCUCAUGACAACCUCCUGAGGUUGUCAUAACUGUUAUUGGUGUCUCUCUUCUCCUUUUUCCCAGCAACCAGCAGCAUGGUGACCACAGAGGGACCACCUGGGCCUAUAGCACCAAGAGGAGCUGGCCAGGGUGAGCAUCCUGGUCGGCAUGGCGGAACUACCACAGAAAAAUCCCGUGGAGAAAGGGAAGUAGGGGUGACUAGGACGCCAAUUCAGAGAGAAGCACUUCCAGGAAAAUGAGGCCAGUGGAUAUGGUGGCUUUUGAGGGCAGCAUGGUGGCAUGAUGCCAAAGCUCAAAGACUUUCCCUUCCUGCAUUUGCCCCUCCCCAAAGCAGCUCCUUCCUGGCUUGAGCUAGAGAGCCUGCGUCCCCAGAUUUGUGGCCUGCUUAGGUAGAAGCCCAGGGCCUGCUGGGCUGGUGCUGCAGGGGCUGAGCAGCUGCCUUGUCUGAGAGAGUCUCAAUCUGUCAUCUUGUGACCCCAGCCCCACGCCAGCCACUGCCCAGGACAGCAACCACUUCCCCAGUUACUGGAAGAGCAGAGGAGAUGCAUGACCAACACUCCCGGGCCCCAGACAGCAGCUCUGGAUCGGAAGAUCCAGCUGAGAGACUGUGGUUGGCAAAUCCACCAGACCUGAAUGCAGUUCCAAUAUACUGGCUGUGUGACCUCGGUCAAGUUACUUAACCUAUCUGAGCCUCACUUGUCUCCUGUAUAAAACAGAGAAGAGUUUGGGAGGACCCUUUGGGAAUCUGAGAAAACCUGGACAGAAAAGUGUGCACGUGCACAUAGGACACGAUUGCUGGGGCUUGCGUCUUGCAGUGGCUCUGAGCUGCUUGGCUAGGUCCUGUGAGGUGGACCAAGCACCGUCGAGGUGUUAUCAGCCUGGCACAGGCUCCGGCUUGCUGUGCGGGCAGCCUCCCUGCACCCUGGGCCGGCUCCAAAGAGCAAGCUCGGCGUGCAGACCCUUGUGCGAUAAUUGGAGCUGCAGCCAGACCUUGCAGGGAGCUCUGUGCAGUCUUUCCCUGGGACCCCAGGCCCUGCUUGGUCCUGCAGGCAGCUGCAGGGGUUGUCAGUAGCUGACGAACAGGACCCGGGAGCUAGAGCAGAUGUUGAAGAUCUCCUUUGAAAUCCGCAUGUGGACAGGUUCCUCGGGCGCCAAUCCCAGCCUCCUGCUAAUUUCACCAGUGCAUCGGGGGAGAGCCGGGCACAGGGAGCCUCAUUCCUGCCCUGCUCUGGUCUCCUCCCACCCCUUCUCAUUAGCAAGUAUCCACCCCCCAGCCCUGCAAUCUGGGGCCUGGUUACAAUCACCUGGGCCAAGGGGAUAAAAACCCACCACAAAUUCUUUUCAGAUAUCUUUCCCCAUGGCCUGUCUUCACCCCCUCCCCCCAAAUUACAUGCAAGCCACGAGUUUGCAC